rnacentral:rRNA from 1 species
UACGGAGGAUGCAAGCGUUAUCCGGAUUCAUUGGGUUUAAAGGGUGCGCAGGUGGGCUUGUAAGUCAGUGGUGAAAUGCUGCCGCUUAACGGUAGAAUUGCCAUUGAUACUGCAGGUCUUGAAUAUGGUUGAGGUAGGCGGAAUGUGUUGUGUAGCGGUGAAAUGCAUAGAUAUGACACAGAACACCGAUUGCGAAGGCAGCUUACUAAGCCAUGAUUGACGCUGAGGCACGAAAGCGUGGGGAGCGAACAGG